GUUUCUUAAGUCUGAUGUGAAAGCCCACGCCUCAACCGGGGAGGGUCAUUGGAAACUGGGGAACUUGAGUGCAGAAAAGAAAAGCGGAAUUCCACGUGUAGCGGUGAAAUGCGUAGAGAUAUGGAGGAACACCAGUGGCGAAGGCGGCUUUUUGGUCUGGAACUGACGCUGAGGCGCGAAAGCGUGGGAAGCAAACAGGAUUAGAUACCCUGGUAGUCCACGCGGUAAACGAUGAGUGCUAAGUGUGAGAGGGUUUCCGCCCUUUAGUGCUGCAGCUAACGCAUUAAGCACUCCGCCUGGGAAGUACG
rnacentral:rRNA from 2 species